CAGUAACGGAGAGGACAGGAGGAAAACGCUCUAUUCGUCCUUUCCGCCACCACCACCCCGAUUUGCGGAGAGGGGUCAGGCCGAGGGGCGGCGGAAUCAGCCCCUUUCUCCCGGGGAGGCGACCCCGGCUCGGGGAGCCGCCGGAGGCAGCCGCCGCGCAGACGGGGCGCAGGAAAAGAGAUGCAUUGAAAGUUUCCGCGCAAACUUUGCCGUGAGUGCGCGAAUCCGAGCGAGCGCGGCGCGGGUGCCUGCUUGCCCCGACGCGGGGAGAGCGCCGCGGACGGGCGCCGCUGUGGAGCUCGGACUGCCCGGCGGCGGGGGCCGGGCGGCGGCAGGGCGGCCGCGGAGCCUGCGCUCGGCCCGGCGGAGCGCCUACGGAAAGCAGCAGCGGGGGCCGGCGGAGAGCCGGGCUUAUGGAGGGGUGAAACCGGAGACCCCGAAGAGGAGCCCCCCUUACCCCGCAACCCUUCGCAGUACCCGGCCGGCGGCACCCCAGGAGGCGGCGGCGGGCACGGAGGAGGAGCGGACGAGAGCGCGGCGGGGCGGCGGCGGCAGCGGCAGCGGGGCGGCGGCGGCGAGGCGGAGCACGGCGGGCCCCGCUUCGCGGCGUGCGCCGGCAACCAUGAACUUUCUGCUCACUUGGAUCCGCUGGGGGCUGGCGGCGCUGCUCUAUCUGCAGAGCGCGGAGUUGUCGAAGGCUGCGCCUGCCCUGGGGGAUGGGGAGCGGAAACCCAAUGAAGUUAUCAAAUUCCUGGAAGUCUACGAGCGCAGCUUCUGCAGGACUAUUGAGACCCUGGUGGACAUUUUCCAGGAGUACCCUGAUGAGGUGGAGUACAUAUUCAAGCCAUCCUGUGUGCCUCUGAUGAGAUGUGCGGGUUGCUGCGGCGAUGAGGGCCUAGAAUGUGUCCCUGUGGAUGUAUACAACGUCACAAUGGAGAUCAUGAGAAUUAAACCCCAUCAGAGUCAACACAUAUCACACAUGAGCUUCUUACAGCACAGUAAAUGUGACUGCAGACCAAAGAAAGAUGUCAAAAACAAACAAGAAAAAAAAUCAAAACGAGGAAGGGGGAAGGGUCAAAAGAGAAAGCGCAAGAAAGGCCGGUACAAACCACUCAGCUUUCACUGUGAGCCUUGCUCAGAGAGGAGAAAGCACUUGUUUGUACAAGAUCCCCAGACCUGUAAAUGUUCCUGCAAAUUCACAGACUCACGUUGCAAGUCGAGGCAGCUUGAGUUAAACGAGCGCACUUGCAGAUGUGAAAAACCGAGACGGUGAGCAGCGGAAAAGAAGGGGAAACAGCCCUGUUUCUGGAGCCUGAUUUCUCGCCUGGACAGAAUAAAACAAACAAAACACUAAUCCAAAUGAACCCUAAAAAUGAAGGAUCGGUAGAGCACAGCACUUUCAGUACGGACGAUGGACUCCGGAAGGAACAUUCCCCAAGGCACCCGCCGCACAGAAUUCACCUUUGGGUUUUGAACUGUUUUAUUUUAUUUUUCUUUUUAUGCUGCUAAAUAACAGAGCCAGGAAGACUUAUAGGGGUGUAUUUGAUGGGUUUUCCCAUGCAUACAUAUAUAUGUGUGUAUACAUGCAUAUACAUAUAUAUAUAUGUAUAUAUAUUUUAACCACAUCUAUAUAUACAUAUAUGUAUAUCUUAACCACACACACACACACACAUAUAUAUAUAAUAUAUAUAUAUAUAUAUACUGAUUAUUUUUUUUAACAUUGCUAAUGUUAUUGGUGUCUUCACUGGAUAAUACUCGACUGCUGUGGACACAAGCGGGCUACUUGGGGCAUAAGAAACAAGCUAAGACUGGACUUGAGUAGAAGCGCUGGGUGUAAACUUCUUAACUCCAACUGACUUGUGCGGCCUCCGCUGUUUCUCUGUAGAGUGUGCUGUACCACAAACCACCUUCUCCUUGCCUGGGACAGGGAGGAGAGGUGAUGGAGAGGAUGGGCAGGGAGUUCCAAAGAGCGGCAUCCUAGGGUGCGAUGGGUCAAAGGCCAAGGAAAUGGCCAUCUCCGUGAUCAAGGAUUCCUCCUCCCCUCUCUUCCCCCAACCUUCGCCCUUACUCGUCUCAUAACCUGCCUGCCUUGCCGGGACAUGGGAUGUCAGUGUACAUUUUGCGUUGACUUUAUUCGCUGUAGAACCUUUCCCAGAGAGUCAUGCUGGCUUCACUUAAGGAUGGUGGGCAGCUGAUGCACACUGACUUUCUGUUCAAGGAAUUAUCACAGGAGUCUAGAUUUCCCGCCCUUGGUGGCUGCAGAAGGACACAAGGUCUACAAUGUGCUGAAGCAAGAAUGGGGACCGGUGCAUAGCCACACAGUUGUUCAGCACUGUCUGCUUUCUUCAUGCACAGAGCUGCCACUCAAGAGCAUCCAAGAUGCUUAUGGAACAUUUCUGGAAAGGGAUAUUAAUCAGAAGUAUAUACACAGUAGUGGGGGUGUGUGUGUAUGUAUGUGAAUGUAUGCAUUUGUGUGUAUGAAUGUAUGUAUGUAUGUGUGUUUUUCUCUCUUUUUUAUAUAUAUAUAUUUAUUUUUAUACAUAUAUAUAUAUAAAAAAAUAAUAUAUAUGUAUGCCAAGAUUGAAGGGGGGAGAAAAGAAAGCAACUUUUGCUGCCUUCAGUUUGCGUGCCCAGUGUGAACGACCCUUAAGAACGUCAAGUUUUUUUUUUUAAUGACGUACUGUAAAUAUCAGGCCCCUUUUCCAUGUCUUGGGCUGGGGAAUCAAAUGUGAGGACAGCUGGAGUCCCUUAGCUGUGUCGUGAGGUUCUUGGCUAUGUGUGUAUCUGCAGUGUAGGCUGUGGUGUACAUGAAACCCACCUUACACACGCGCGCACACACACACACACCCCUGAAAGUGUGUUUGUACAUCUAUGUGGAUAUAUAUAAUCUAGUUCUGUGAUUAAAAUUAUUAUUAAUAAUAAUAAUAAUCAAAAAGGUACUCAGUCUGUGUCAGAAUGCUGCCAAACAUCAUCUGCAAUUGAAUUUUCAACGCCUGAUAAUGUACAACACGGAAAGCUUCCAAAAAGACAAGACAGUCUAAAAACAGACUCACAACAAGCGACUACUAACCACUAGGAUCUCCCCAUCCGACUGAUGGCUUUCAGAAGGAGAGAAAACACACGGUUUCUCCAGCAUUGCCUCUGGAGGCUACAGGGCAUCAGCAGCCUACCAGUUGGACUCUUGGAUUUGUGCCCAGAGCUUCCAAAAGCACAUAGGUACCUGAAACCCCCUGAAAUGAAUGGGAGGUAGGCACCAGAAUCCUGGAAUGGAGCUCAGCCUGAGUUCCCUGCUUGGUGAGAAGAGGGUGGUGUGAUGGGCAGGACCAAGGGGACAGGACUCCUGGGUUCUUUCCCAGCAUGAUGCCAAGCAGUGUGGUGAUGGUCCCAACCCUGCCUCUUGUCAGGAGCCAAGUCCCAUGAGCUGGGUACUGUACAGGCAUGAGUAGAUGCAAUCCUGGUGGAAUUUACAAUCCAAGGUGAAAGUAAUGCUGUGAUCCUGCCCUUUCUGGUAAUGGACUUGGUGUUUGCAGUUGGAUCUGUGUGCAUGUAGCUCACUGUCAGUGAUGGCUCAGCCAGACCUUGCCAUCCUGGAUGACUUUGAACAAAAAACUGUUUGGCUGUGGCAGUGCUCAUCACUUCAUGAGGGAUCUUGAUACCGUUGCAUCUUUUGUGAUGUGCUUUGGGGUCUAGGAGGAAAAGCUUUGGCAGUGGUGUAAUUUCCUCGUUAUCCAUGGAGAUAAAUGUGUCAUGUGUCAGUCAUCUAUCCACACUGCAAAGGAGCAUGCAGGAUGUUUCCUGGAUGUCUGGGAGGCAACUCACUUAGGGUAAUACAGACCACUGAGUUCAUGGCUGCAUCAUUCCUGCUCUUGUGAAGGUAAAGAAUCUGGCUUCUGUUCAGGAUGGACUCAAGUAGCUCAACAGGUGGACCUGCAGUCACUGCCUCAGCAGAGGGUGGAGCAGAAGAAAGAGGAUGGAGUACCUGAGGACAUUUUGGUUCACUGUAUUCAGUAACGUCUUGUGGACUGCAGGAGUGAGGUGAGAACGUAAGCCAUCUGGAUGUUUCUGCAUGAGGAACCCAAAGGAGUUGCUUCCCUUGUAUAUUCACCACUGGCUUUUGUUCUGUGUGGAUCUAUGGACUCUUUCGCUUGUGGCUGUGCAAGGUGAUGAAGACAGCAAGCCUAUCCUCAGGAGACCUGCUCUGCCUAUUUGCAAUCUGGGAAAUGUUUACAAGUUAUCAAAUUGGAAAAAUUGAAACCCUCAGACGCAAGACUCACGCUGUACCCUGGGAGAAGACCAG